rnacentral:misc_RNA from 1 species
AUGCCCCUGCGAGUCAAUAACACAUACCUUGAAACUUUCAGAAACGUAAUCAUGCAUGCGGUGGAUACGUAAAUGAGUUUACGCAGGAUUAUAUAUUGACUUGUUGUAGCUCCACGUGUUAACGACCAAUUCCUGAUAUCAAGGCUGUAUAAGAGGGUAACCACUGUCUGUCAGCUAUGGCUGAAGAAAUGGUGCAGAAGCUGCUGGAUGGUCAAGCACUAGAUACAGAAGAGUUUUGUGAUUUUUCCCUUGAAGACCAAAAUGAAGCAACAGCCGCAAAGGGCGUCGCUCCAUCAUCACCUUCCUCAUUUACCCCUGAAUUAAAGAAGAACAUCUGCUAUGUCGUAGCUGCGGCCAUUGUCAACGAUAAGGGAGAGGUGCUGAUGAUUCAGGAAGCCAAAAGCUCGUGCGCCGGCCAGUGGUACCUGCCGGCCGGCCGGAUGGAGGCCGGAGAGACGAUCGCCGAGGCGGCGCGUCGCGAGGUGCUCGAGGAGACGGGUCUGGAGCUGGAGCCGACCACCCUGCUGAUGGUGGAGACGGCCGGCGGCGCCUGGUACCGCUUCGUUGUCACCGGCACCGUCACAGGCGGUCGGCUGAAGACGCCGGCCGACGCCGACCCGGAGUCGCUGCAGGCCCAGUGGGUGGCCGACCUGAGCGCCUACGAACUGCGCGCCAGGGACAUCGAGCCGCUGGUGGAGCUGGCGCGCGCGUACCAUGCGCGCGGCGCGGCCGCCUGGCACCCGGAGCGGCUGCCGGCGGCGCGAGCCCACCGCCGCCUACUGCUCCGACUGGUCGUCUGCGUCCGAAAACGCGCCAAUAACCGGGUCAGUGUCCUGAUGUCGGAGAAGACGUCUCUACACCUGCCCACAUGCGAAAUAUCGCCGCCCCGUAGCAUCCACUCAACGCUCAAAAAGUAUAUGACGGAGAUGUUUGGCGCCGACCUGCCGCCGCACCGGCCGGCCGGCGUGCUCUCGGUCGAGUACAGCCACCAGCCCGACCAGCCGGCCGGCCUCUGCCUCACGCUGCUCGUGCCCGUCCGAAAACCGCUGGAGGAGGUGCACCUGAUCGACAAGUACCAGUGGUGCGAGCUGAACCGCGAGCUGGGUCACGCGCUGCUCGACCGGCUCGGCAAAAAUCAGCUGGUGUCGCUGAACGUCAUCAGGUAAGGCGCGGCGGCCGGACGGCGGCGGCGGCGGCCGACCACCCGCACUGCCGGCCGGUGUCGGGCACCUGCACAGCGAACACACCGACUGGCACGUGACCGCCGCCGCUUCAACGGAGACUGCCGGACGCCGAGGAACGAGAGGUGCAUGCUGCUGUGGUGGUUGUCUUCCAGCCUGGAGCACAGAGCACCGCUGCCGGCCCGGGGUCGGAGGUGGCGACGCCCCCGGCCCCGCGGCCUCUCGCCGGGCGCCCGCCGGUGGCUCAGGCCAGCCACCGAUCGGCGGGCAGUGCAACAGAUUGGUGGUAGCUCUGGCAAACACGGGCCGACGCAAUUAUAUUCCCAGGUGUACAACGACUUGCGAGCUUGCUUUGGCUUUAUUUACGAAGGGACGAGGUUUGAGACUGAAGUAGGGAAUUUAAGGAUAUUCCGACCUGGGAUAGUUAAAUUAUUUGUUUUAGCAAAUGAAAUAGAACAGAUUGAAGCCGUAUAUUUUAAAAAUGUCAACGUUGCCAGUAACGUUAAUCGUUUACGUGUUUGUGAACCGUGACCAAUUUGUGCGUUCCCUGCGGGCCAAAUGGCAUGACUGAUGAAAACUGGCUUUAGGUGGUAGCUACUAUGCACUCUUCUUUCAUCAGACAUAAGAAAAGAUAUAUCCGUGUGUUACAGUUACCACAUACAUAUAUCUAUUUGGUGGAUGAUUAUCUGCACUGCUGCUGGAUUCAGCUCGCUUCGUCGUUGUAUAUUCGUUAGCCGACGGGUUUCAGUGGUAGCCGACCCAGUCUGUCUGCCUUACAUGCCAGUAGGUUUUAGUGUCGGGAUCGUCUGCCUGCUCAGUCGCUAUGCACUCCGAUGGGGUUUCAUGCCCCCCAAGUGGCGGCCUGCACAGUGCCCACUUGUGUUGUUUCCUGCCAGUAGAGUACUGUGUCGUCGGCAGACUGUCCCGUCCGUGUAUAUUUGUUUGUCUGACGGCGAUGUUAGUUUCCGGACUGAGACUGUCUGUUCGGUCCCUAUUCGCACCAUGUCUGCUGAUGGGUUUCAGCGCCAGGGCCAGCGAAUCGGUGGCGUGAUGCUGGAUCGGUCUCCAGCUCCGCGGUCGCCGUUCGUUCGUGGCCCGUAUGGGAUUCUGCCGCCGCUGCUCUCAGUGUACUCUCAGCACCGCUCACCAGCGGUGACGGCUGUACUGUCCGUCUCUGCCGCCCGCGAGUGUCCUGCUAUCCCUGCGGUAAUGUUGUUACGUUUCCGUCCAUCUGCUGUGCUGCGCCCUUCGGCCCGUAUGUAUAUGAUUGUAAAGUGUAUGCUGUAUAUUUCUGUGUGUGCGGGCCCGUGCCUUCUGCGGCGCGCGCUGGACGCUGGCCCGUCGCGUGGCGCCCGCGGUCGGGUCCCGCGCCGCCAGACGGCCCGUCGCCGCUCGCUCUUUGGUGGUAGGUGUCGCUACUAAUUGGACGGUGUGCCGGCGGCCGGCCGUUUUCGCCUCGCUCAAGUCGCUAAUAUAUUUUUACUUUCUA